rnacentral:lncRNA from 13 species
GGCCCUUGCUGGUGAGGCAAGCAUUCCCUGAGUCCCCUGCAUCCCACAGGAUGGUGAACAUGCUGAAGAUGGCAGUGUCCUCAGUGAAGAAGGAAUGAAAGCUGCCUGCCGUCGCCCUGGAGCUGCUCUACCUGGCACUCAAGGAAGACAAGUUUCUGCAGUUCUGGAAGGGGAUGGUGGAACAGGGGCUGCUGAAGCUUCAGUUCUGGCCAGCCAGCUCCCAAACCAGUUCAAGUUCCCUGGAGAUGGAGGAAUACAUGGACACCUUCCUAGAGGGAUGCUGGGCUAUGUGGCCUGGCUGCAGGGCAUGUUUCUCUAGCCAAACCUGGACUCCUUGAUUGACUUAAGCACCAACAACUGAAGAAAGCUCAGGAUGCAUCACUGCACGUGUGAGUGGACCGUGCGAAGGACCCGUCGUCCUUCAGGGGUUAGCUUUUCUAGCCUGCAGAGCUCAGCGACCCUGCCCCUCACCCCCCUACCCACGGUGUCCUGGCCCUAAACCAUGAGCAGAGAGAGGGAAAGCACCAUAGCUCUCAAGGAAACCGAGGUCCCGCACUGGCAGUUGGGAGCGAGAGAGCUUGGUUUUCUGUCUCUGAGAUCAGUUAAAGGAAUGUCCUGUUUUUGAUAAUUUGUUCUUUUCUUUUUUUUUUUUUCUUCCUCCCCCCCCCGCCCCCGAUAGAGUCUCACUAAGCUGGAGUGCUGUGGCAUGUGGCAUGUAAUCUCAGCUCACUGCAAAUUCUGCCUCCUGGGUUCAAGCGAUUAAGUGAGUCUCUGCCUCAGCCUCCCCAGUAGCUGGGACUACAGGCACCCAUCACCAUGUCCAGCUAACUUUUGUUUUUUGAGAUGGAGUUUCACUCUUGUUGCCCAGGCUAGAGUACAGUGGUGUGAUCUCAGCUCACUGCAACCUCUGCCUCCCUGGUUCAAGUGAUUCUUCUGCCUCAGCCUCCCAAGUAGCUAAAAUUAUAGGCAUGUGCUACCAUGCCCAGCUAAUUUUUGUAAUUUUAGUAGAGAUGGGGUUUUUCCAUGUUGGUCAGGCUGGUCUUGAACUCGACAUCAGAUGAUCCACCCACCUUCGCCUCCCAAAGUGCUGGGAUUACAGGCAUGAGCCACCACACCCGGCCUUAAGUUUUGUAUUUUUUGUGGAGAUGGGGUUUUACCAUGUUGGCCAGGCUGAUCUUGAACUCCUGACCACAACCGAUCCACCUGCCUCGGCCUCCAAAAGUGCUGGGAUUACAGGUGUGAGCCACUGGGCACAGCCUGCUUUUGCCAGUUCUAAGUGGCUCACGUGACCUCGCCUCUGCGCCCCAGGCCUGAGCGA